AGUGAACGCUGGCGGUAGGCCUAACACAUGCAAGUCGAACGGCAGCACAGUAAGAGCUUGCUCUUACGGGUGGCGAGUGGCGGACGGUUGAGGUAUACAUCGGAAUCUACUUUUUCGUGGGGGAUAACGUAGGGAAACUUACGCUAAUACCGCAUUCGACCUACGGGUGAAAGCAGGCGAUCUUCGGACCUUGCGCGAUUGAAUGAGCCUAUGUCGGAUUAGCUAGUUGGCGGGGUAAAGGCCCACCAAGGCGACGAUCCGUAGCUGGUCUGAGCGGAUGAACAGCCACACUGGAACUGAGACACGGUCGAGACUCCGACGGGGGGACGCAGUGGAGAAUCUUAGACGAGGCGCGCGUGCCUAAUCCAGGCAUACCGCGGGGGUGAAGAAGGACUUCGGGUUGUAGAGCGCUUUUGUUGGGAAAGAAAAACAGCAGGUUAAUCCCCCACUGUUCUGACGGUACCCAAAGAAUAAGCACCGGCUAACUUCGUG
rnacentral:rRNA from 1 species